GGGAGGAGAGGAGAGCAGAGGCGUGCUGACUGGCAAGUCCGUCGGCGAAGCUCAGCCGCCAGGAACCUCGGCCCCACAGCCAUUGUUGCCCCAAGAGGGUGGGCAGACUGGACCUUUGGCAAAUACUCGUGCCACAGGUUUGGUUCUGCUUUGGGUUGGGUAGGGUGGGGCUUGGGGAGGACCUAGAAGAUUCAGCACUAGAGAGCGAAGAGGCAGAUGCAUUGACGGACAAACCAGGGAAGACAGCUUAGUCAUACAUGCUGGAUUUUAAUCCGGUUACACCGAAUCAUUUCACGCUAGACCGACUACGAAAACGUACCGGGCCGUCCACCUCAGAGGGAGCCCCGUGAGCCAUUAUAAGCGGUGGCUACGUCCUUCUCACAACGUGGCGUGCUUCGAGCCCUGAGGGCUGAGACGCUUCUGGUCUGCCUGCUCCGCUCUAAAUUCCAGUCCCUGGGAAAUGCUGGGCCUUAGCCCUGGCCUCAGCCAAGGGAUCCUUUCAAAGCCCUCGAAUCACAAGCUAUCCACUCAUUUCAACCUCCCCACCACACCAUCCCUAAACUCCAGAAGACGGGACUGUCAAAUCCACGUUUCCCAGGCUCCUGGGAGCGUUCCUGCAGCAUCCAGGAAGGGCAAGAGCUGCUUUCAACAUAAUGAUGCUUCAAGAUUGAGGUUUUAAAGAAAGAAAGCAUUUGUGAAAUGGGGGUAAAGGAGCAAACAUAGGAUUUCUUUUUUUAAAGGAAGUAGCCUCCCACUCCUAUAUUUUCUUCAAUGUCAAGCGAAAUGAAAAUAUUUCCAGGGUGAUCGAUCGCGGCGGCUACCGGCUUCCAAUACUGCCUAGAAGCUGAAGAGGAGGUGGAGUGCCGAGGAGAAACCGCCACACGGUCACCAGCGCGUGAGCGCGGAUCCUGGCGUGGAGAGAGACAUACGGAGCGCGCACGUGUUACCUGCUUUAUUUCGGGACUGUUUGGUACUGUGUUCGCGCUGGGCAGCUCUCCGCCCGGAAGGCCGCCCCCGCACGCCGCCCUCAGCCCCACUUCGCGGCCGAGCUCGCCGAGGGCCUCAGAAACCAGUAAGUACCGGCCUGGCCGCGGCCGCCCCCGCCCCAGAUCCCAGGCUAGGCUCCCCCGAAACCCGGCUCUCCCGGGACGCUAGCCCGUGGGCUCCAAGGGCGCUCCCAGGGCUACAGCGUUUCUAAGGUUCACGCCCUCUCCCGCACCCUCACAGCUCGCCCCUCCGCCGCGCCCCCGCUCUUAGAGACAAAAUUGGAUACAAACUUUAAUCAGUAAGGAUAAAUAUUGACGCGCAAAGGAAAAUAA